AUGUCAGUUUGAUAAUUUGAAUUUAUAAGAUAAAUUUAAAUUAGAUGUGAUAUCAUGGUUAAAUUUAUGAGAUAAAUUUAAUUAUAUUUUCGUGGGCCUUUUAAGUGGAAGAUGAAAACCCUUAUCUAUAUACCAUAUAUAGAUAGGGACAUUCUUUAUGAAGGAUGAGAGAGUUAGAAAAGUUCUGAUGGCAAAAACACUUUGAGAGUCACGAAACACCCUAUAGAAAGGAAAAAUAACAUUUAAAGAAGAACAGACGCUUGGAGUGCUAGCACACUAUUCGAGUUAGAGAGUUGUUCGUGUGGAUGUCAGUAAAGGAAGCAGAUCUACGUUAUCAGCUCCUGAGAUCUAAACUCUUGAAGAGAAUGUGCGCCAUUGUUUAAAGAAUUAAAAGGGCACAGCCUUGGCUUUCAUUGUUGGCAUUUUGAAGCUCCCAAAGACCUAAGGACCUAGUUCAUCGGAUUCGAGUUGGGGAAAACAUACAAAGGCUUAAGAUUGUGGAGUAAUCCUCUAUAUGCCUCUCUUUUAUUGCUUUCAUGUGCAUUUAUUAAGAUUAUGGUGUGGGAAGAUUUGCCUUGACACAAGAAGAGAUUUAGUACCACAGGACUGGGAAGUGAGCAGGCCAAGGGAAGAGAGUUUGGACCAGCUUGAGUUAAGAAGCCAUGUACUCUAAGGUUGUGUAAUAAACCGAAUCGAAAUAUUGUAUAUAUAAGUGUAUAUGAGUUGCCAUAGGUUGCAUGCAUGUAUUGAAUUGAGUUUUUGUAAAAUCAAGCCCAAAUUAUGUGUAUAUGUGUUAUUUGAGACAAAGGGGCUUUGAUUUGAGUAUAUUUAGGAGGCAAUGGUUGUGUGUUGGUGAAUCUUAAGCCAAAGGACAAAUUAUGAGGAAAUGUGUAAUUUAGCAGCUA